AACUACAUCAAAUAAAUAGCCUAUAUAAUACCGAAAUAUGGUCGGUUAGUCUCUACCUAAAGCCGUAAACUUUAGACUAUAAGCGCUUCUUAAAAACUG
rfam:Lactobacillus reuteri DSM 20016, complete genome.